rnacentral:rRNA from 1 species
CUACGGGUCGCUGCAGUGAGGAAUAUUGCACAAUGGGGGGAACCCUGAUGCAGCAACGCCGCGUGGAGGAUGACGCAUUUCGGUGUGUAAACUCCUUUUAUAUGUCAAGAAAAUGACGGUAGCAUAUGAAUAAGCACCGGCUAACUCCGUGCCAGCAGCCGCGAUAAUACGGAGGGGCAAGCGUUACUCGGAAUCACUGGGCGUAAAGGACGCGUAGGCGGGUUGGAAAGUCAGGUGUGAAAUCCUACAGCUUAACUGUAGAACUGCACUUGAAACUUCUAAUCUAGAGUAUGGGAGGGGGAGAUGGAAUUAGUGGUGUAGGGGUAAAAUCCGUAGAUAUCACUAGGAAUACCUAAAGCGAAGGCGAUCUCCUGGAACAUUACUGACGCUAAGGCGUGAAAGCGUGGGGAGCAAACAGGAUUAGAUACCCGCGUAGUC